rnacentral:tRNA from 1 species
GCCCAGGUGGUGAAAUUGGUAGACACGCCAGCUUCAGGUGUUGGUGGCGCAAGCUGUGUCGGUUCGAGUCCGACCCUGGGCACCA